UCCAAUGUGGUGUAGUGGUUUGGGCAUUGGACUACAACUCUAAAGGUCAGGGUUCAAUUCCUGACUCAUCCAUGGAU